AAACUGCUAUUUUAAAAAAAAAUCUGCCAUGUUAUGUAUUUUAAUCCAGUUCAUGGAACAUACUUUAGAAAGUAGGAAUUUUUAAUAAGUUGUCAUGGGUUAGUGGUUAGUGGUGCCAACAUAAACAUUCUUAAAUGACUUGGGAAUGUAUACUGAGAAAAUAAUAUCUAUUAAUUAUUGCCAUUUCCAUAGAAUGAUUCUCAUUUUCCCUGAUACUGGAUUUCAACAAGAGGAAUAGUAAUAAGAGGCUAAGAUAUAUUUCUUUAAAAUAAUAGAUGCUUGCAUCAAGAAAGAUACUGAUGCAAAUAAAAUGAGAGGAGUAAAGAAUGAUAACCUGGGCUCCAGUGACUUUGGGCAAGGAUGGUAAUGAGGGUUUGAGGGAGGAAGCACCAUGAGCAAAUAGAGUAUGCCCAGUAGUGUCUGAGACUGCAGAUGUUCCCUUAGUGCCCACUGACCAGUUAAGGUUGACAGUCUUGAUAGGAUAACAAGCAAGCUAAUGGAAAUCUGAAAAGAAAAAAUAUGUCUUCUGAUGGUUUUAGAUCAGCUGCUGCUUGUCAUGUUGAUGGAG
rnacentral:lncRNA from 1 species